AUUGAACGCUGGCGGCAGGCCUAUCACAUGCAAGUCGAGCGGAUGAAGGGAGCUUGCUCCUGGAUUCAGCGGCGGACGGGUGAGUAAUGCCUAGGAAUCUGCCUGGUAGUGGGGGAUAACGUCCGGAAACGGGCGCUAAUACCGCAUACGUCCUGAGGGGGAAAGUGGGGGAUCUUCGGACCUCACGCUAUCAGAUGAGCCUAGGUCGGAUUAGCUAGUUGGUGGGGUAAAGGCCUACCAAGGCGACGAUCCGUAACUGGUCUGAGAGGAUGAUCAGUCACACUGGAACUGAGACACGGUCCAGACUCCUACGGGAGGCAGCAGUGGGGAAUAUUGGACAAUGGGCGAAAGCCUGAUCCAGCCAUGCCGCGUGUGUGAAGAAGGUCUUCGGAUUGUAAAGCACUUUAAGUUGGGAGGAAGGGCAGUAAGUUAAUACCUUGCUGUUUUGACGUUACCAACAGAAUAAGCACCGGCUAACUUCGUG
rnacentral:rRNA from 1 species